AGCGAACGCUGGCGGCAGGCCUAACACAUGCAAGUCGAGCGCCGUAGCAAUACGGAGCGGCAGACGGGAGAGUAACACGCGGGAACGUACCCUUUGCUACGGAAUAGCUCCGGGAAACUGGAAUUAAUACCGUAUGUGCCCUACGGGGGAAAGAUUUAUCGGCAAAGGAUCGGCCCGCGUUGGAUUAGCUAGUUGGUGGGGUAAUGGCCUACCAAGGCGACGAUCCAUAGCUGGUCUGAGAGGAUGAUCAGCCACAUUGGGACUGAGACACGGCCCAAACUCCUACGGGAGGCAGCAGUGGGGAAUAUUGGACAAUGGGCGCAAGCCUGAUCCAGCCAUGCCGCGUGAGUGAUGAAGGCCUUAGGGUUGUAAAGCUCUUUCACCGGAGAAGAUAAUGACGGUAUCCGGAGAAGAAGCCCCGGCUAACUUCGUGCCAGCAGCCGCCGUAAUAC
rnacentral:rRNA from 1 species